UACGUAGGGGGCAAGCGUUGUCCGGAGUUACUGGGCGUAAAGCGCACGCAGGCGGUCUCUUAAGUUUGGAGUGACAGUUGGUGGCUUAACUGCCAAAGUGCUUCGAAAACUGAGAGACUUGAGGGCUUCAGAGGGACACGGAAUUCCGGGUGGAGUGGUGAAAUGCGUAGAUAUCAUUUGGAACGCCAACGGCGAAAGCAGGCAGCUGGGGAUGCACCGACGCUGAGACACGAAAGCCAGGGGAGCGAACGGG
rnacentral:rRNA from 1 species